rnacentral:sRNA from 1 species
AAAAAUAAGUUUGAAAUAUCCAAACGUUAAGUUUCAUCAUUAAUUGGGGAAUCGUAAUUCAAAAAACCAAAAACUAAAAAAAGAACAUACUGACCUGGCGGAACAUGUUCGAAACAUGUUGCAACUUGUACUUUCUCUUUUGCCUAAAGUGACGUCAUGAUUCGAACAUUCGGAACUUUUUCCGAAAGAACCGACCAAAAAAGCAGACGACACGGGAUUCCCCAAACAGCUGUUGGAUAAGUUGAGAAGAAAUUUUGUGAUUAGCUAGUUUGAUGUUACUUAUGUUUCCCUUCAAGAUUACGAAAAAGGCGACGAUUGCAAAGGAAGAAACUACCAAAACCAAAACAACUUCUUUGACGGAUCGAGAUGCGAAUGACAGCUGCAAGGUUCAGGUUGUCAAAGACCGCGACAUGCACCAAGAUUUUCUAAGCUUAGUUGAUAAUUUUUGUCACAUGGAUGAAUUUGAAGAUUCCAAUGAACUACAUCGAGUGAAGAGACCACGUCUGGCACUUAUCGAAGAAAGAUUCCAUCUAUUUUCUACAGAGAGAUGCCUGUCAAAGAAUAUCAGACAAGUAUUUGCUUGCGAUGGUCUUUGCCUAUUUCAAAAGAGCGCAAAUGAAAACCAGGAUUACUCAAGGAUGAAUUUCUCAGCACUGAAUUACCUAGCAAAUGACAUGGAGGAAGAUGAGGAGGAUGAUAAAUAUGAAAUCUUCCCUGGGCUCUGGGCAACAAAUGGAAGGACAGGUUCCCUCGUUUUCUUAGGAAGAAGGAUCUGUUCUGGGCCAGGAUAUCUUACCGCGCUGUGGUCAGUCGGCGAUGCUGCGAAGAGAUAAUGGAUAUUUACCCAGAUCAUGCGUGUUGGAAAAGAAAUCGUACGGCCCACCACAGUGGAGCCAUCAGGAGUUACGUGCGGGAAGCUGAGGGGGAUGACGGCUACCCCGGGGUCCUAACGCCAGCCCCGGCCCUGCGCCCUGUGUGAACCCUGUGACAGUCAGUACGACUCGGCCAGUCCGGACAGGGAGGAGUGGAUUCUGUCCAAUGACGACAUCUUGACAAUUCCCAGGAGGAUCAUCGUUUGAUAUGAAACGUAAGGACGGAGUACACAUGUACAGUUCAAAAACAAAG